rnacentral:rRNA from 1 species
UACAGAGGGUGCGAGCGUUAAUCGGAAUUACUGGGCGUAAAGCGUGCGUAGACGGUUUAUUUAAGUCGGGUGUGAAAGCCCCGGGCUCAACCUGGGAAUUGCAUUCGAGACUGAAUAGCUAGGGUACGGUAGAGGGAAGCGGAAUUUCCGGUGUAGCGGUGAAAUGCGUAGAUAUCGAUAGGAACUCCGGUGGCGAAGGCGGCAUACUGGACCACUUCUGACGCUGAGGCGCGAAAGCCAGGGGAGCAAACGGG